rnacentral:lncRNA from 1 species
GUUACCAUUGCUGCCAGCUGGGCCUUGUUUGGGGCUUGGGCAGGUGGUGGGCAGGCUCAGCACCUUGCAGAUGAGUACAGUUCUGCCAUUAGCUGUUCUUCUCUUCAAGGGGCAUGCUUGCUGCUUUGUACCUGGCAGAGCAUCUGUUGGACAUGUGCUCCUGAGAGCUCCACAAGUCAGAUCCACUUCAUUUCUGAAAGAGCGCGACACCUGAGGACAGCCCAGGAUCCAGAAGUUGCAUCCUUUCUUACUGGAACCUCUGGAGCUCUUCUUUUUGGGAUACUAAUUUUGUCUUCAUUGGAGUAACACUACCAGUAUCACAGCCCAGAGGCAGACUCAUAAAGAUCAUACAGGGGUAAGGUGUUUCUUUUUGUUUCUGAAGAUGUUUCUUUUUCAUUUGCCGCUGGCUCAACAAGCUUCCAUUUGUUCAGAAAGUUGACCAUUUUAUCACUUGAAAUGUUUUGACUUCUCCUUACAAACUAAUUCAGUGAAUACCAUGCCUGACCUGACAUUCUAGUCCUGUGUCCUUGGACACUGUGACAUUUCCAGCACUGCAAAGAUUAGAUGUGCUGCAUGUUUUUUAUAUGCUUAGUGCAUACUUCCCUCUGCAGGAAACUUGAAGUCAGUAGCAGCUAUAGCCUGUGGCAGCACUGUGCAACAUGAAGUGUUAAUUCCUAUAAUCUACAGAAAUGGGUACUUGGUUUUGGCCAGCAGUCCUGGUGUUAUAGUCACUUUUUAAGACAUA